AUUGAACGCUGGCGGAAUGCUUUACACAUGCAAGUCGAGCGGCAGCGCGGCCUUCGGGCUGGCGGCGAGGGGCGAACGGGUGAGUAAUGCAUCGGAACAUGCCCAGUCGUGGGGGAUAACACUUCGAAAGAAGUGCUAAUACCGCAUACGUCCUGAGGGGGAAAGCGGGGGAUCGCAAGACCUCGCGCGAUUGGAGUGGCCGAUGUCAGAUUAGCUAGUUGGUGGGGUAAAGGCCUACCAAGGCGACGAUCUGUAGCUGGUCUGAGAGGAUGAUCAGCCACACUGGAACUGAGACACGGCCCAGACUCCUACGGGAGGCAGCAGUGGGGAAUUUUGGACAAUGGGGGCAAGCCUGAUCCAGCCAUACCGCGUGAGUGAAGAAGGCCUUCGGGUUGUAAAGCUCUUUCGGCAGGAACGAAACGGUGGGCUCUAACAUAGUCCGCUAAUGACGGUACCUGAAGAAGAAGCACCGGCUAACUACGUG
rnacentral:rRNA from 1 species